rnacentral:lncRNA from 1 species
AGAGGAGGAGAGAAAUAGUGACAGACUGGAGGAGAGGAGGAGAGAAAUAGUGACACUGUGGAGGAGAGGAGGAGAGAAAUAGUGACAGACUGGAGGAGAGGAGGAGAGAAAUAGUGACACUGUGGAGGAGAGGAGGAGAGAAUUAGUGACAGACUGGAGGAGAGGAGGAGAGAAAUAGUGACACUGUGGAGGAGAGGAGGAGAGAAAUAGUGACACUGUGGAGGAGAGGAGGAGAGAAAUAGUGACAGACUGGAGGAGAGGAGGAGAGAAAUAGUGACACUGUGGAGGAGAGGAGGAGAAAACAAGAGAGAAUGAAUGAGGAGAGAGAUGGGCAAAAACAGAGUGAGGACUUUCAGGAGGGGAAAGGAAGAACGAGAGGGGGAAGUAGAAUAAGAGAGGUAUUGAAGGAAGGAUGAACGCUCUUCAGAAGAUCCAGGGACGGACAGACCAGAUGUUGGGUGCUGUUGCUGAAAUGCUGACUUACUUGGCAUUGCCCAAUCAACUUUUGCAGAGAACAGUGAUGUAGCAGCAGAGCCCACAGUGAGCCAAGGGAAGAAGAGGGGUUAGCAGGUUCAGGUUCAGGUCCAGCACAGUGGAAACCGGCUGGGCUAGAGGACUGGGAGCAGGGGUCCUCCUCCCAAGACAACCUGGAGAGGAAAGAAGGACGAGACAGAACAGGUGACAAUCAUCACUCCCCAAUCAGUCAUCAAUCAGUCCCCAAUCAGAAGACACCUGUUCUUUUUCCCUCCAACAAUCACAUCCCCCUUCCCUUGGUUUAAAAACCCAGACAGUUGUUUUCUCCCCAGAUCAAUCUCUCUGUAGCUCAUUCUCACUCUCUGUGUUCAU